rnacentral:rRNA from 1 species
AUUGAACGCUGGCGGCAUGCUUUACACAUGCAAGUCGAACGGUAACAGGCCUUCGGGUGCUGACGAGUGGCGAACGGGUGCGUAAUGCAUCGGAACGUACCCAGAGGUGGGGGAUAACGCAGCGAAAGCUGUGCUAAUACCGCAUGUGAUCUGAGGAUGAAAGCGGGGGACCGAGCAGCAAUGUUUGGCCUCGCGCCUUUGGAGCGGCCGAUGUCGGAUUAGCUAGUUGGUGGGGUAAAGGCCUACCAAGGCGACGAUCCGUAGCUGGUCUGAGAGGACGACCAGCCACACUGGGACUGAGACACGGCCCAGACUCCUACGGGAGGCAGCAGUGGGGAAUUUUGGACAAUGGGCGCAAGCCUGAUCCAGCAAUGCCGCGUGCGGGAAGAAGGCCUUCGGGUUGUAAACCGCUUUUGGCAGGAACGAAACGGUGUCCGCUAAUAUCGGGCGCUAAUGACGGUACCUGCAGAAUAAGCACCGGCUAACUACGUG